rnacentral:rRNA from 1 species
UACGAAGGGGGCUAGCGUUGUUCGGAAUUACUGGGCGUAAAGCGCACGUAGGCGGAUUUGUAAGUCAGGGGUGAAAUCCCGGAGCUCAACCUCGGAACUGCCUUUGAUACUGCAAGUCUCGAGUCCGAUAGAGGUGAGUGGAAUUCCUAGUGUAGAGGUGAAAUUCGUAGAUAUUAGGAAGAACACCAGUGGCGAAGGCGGCUCACUGGAUCGGUACUGACGCUGAGGUGCGAAAGCGUGGGGAGCAAACAGG